rnacentral:tRNA from 1 species
AAAUUUAUUAAAUUGGCAGAACAAUGCAUUAAAUUUAGAAUUUAAUUAUAUACCA